rnacentral:ncRNA from 1 species
UUCACUAAGGAUUGUUUUUCUCGCCAUAUAUUUCGACGAGAGACGGAAAGGACUCAGCCAGUCACCACUGAUUGGUUUAGAUUCAUAAAAAUAAAGGAUCA